GAGGGUAUAGCUCACGUGGCUGAGCACAUGCCUAGCAUGCAUGAGGUCCUGGGUUCAAUCCCCAUUACCUCCU
rnacentral:tRNA from 1 species